UGCAGGUGGCACCUACCACCUACCUCCUAAUUCCCUAGUCAUUGUCCAAGUCUUACCUAGGCAGAAUACAACCCAACAAAAACCUCUCACCAGAUGAUCGAUGCAUGAUGACGUCUUGUUAAAAUAUUUGGCGACUCUUCAUACAAGGGAAAAAAAUCCUACAUGUAUUAAAAAAUAUUGUAGGUGUGAGAAGAAAGAGCGACAUGGUGUGAAGGAAUCAUAUAGAAUACAGGAGUGCAAGCAUCUUGUUCAGGCAUCUCCUUGUCUCUUCGUUGGAGCCUUGGAAAAGCUUCCCCAGCCUCAAGUAGUGCUUCUUCUACCUAUCCAUCCACUGCAUGCAUAUAUACAAACCUUUUCCCAACUGAUGGAAAGGCAGACAUCUGGUUGUUCGUCAGGCUUGUUGCCAGUUUAACGGCACCAAGUAGUGCUCCAUAUCCUACUAAAGGAUUGGAGCACUUCAAAGCAACAGAGAAUAGCGCUGAAAUGGGUCAUAGGAAGAGCAAUCACCACAAGGGAAGGGGCGAGGAACCUCACCAGAAGCAAAUCCGGUGCCUGCUGGUUCGUUCCUGCUGCCCCUGCUACGUGAUUGGCUCCGUCGUCAGAGGGAUUGGUAGGUGCCUCUUCGUGGCCUGCUACCCGAUGAUACAAUGCUGUGGCCUUGAUGAAUGCAGGCACCACCACACCAGCCACCUCAGCCACUUCAGAUGAUGCAUACAUCCAUCAAGUACAUCACUACUUGAUCAUUUUUUCUUGUUUUUCCUUUCUUUUUUUUUUGGGCCUAAGUAGGGUUAUCAGAAAUUAAUCAAGCCAAGUUCUGAAGAAGAAUUAUUGUCCGUAUCUUAUACGAGUCCGCGUUGUUCUUCAUCCUUUUCCAGUAGUUUUCAGUAGAGAAGAAGAACUUGCCUUCAUUGCCUCAGCAUUUGAUAGAAGAGUAAUCCUGAAGAAAAUUGCCUGCUAAACAGCUAUUGGUCUCCUGAAAGUUAGUCAUUAUUAAAGUGGUCGAUGCCAGUGUUUUCUGAUU